rnacentral:lncRNA from 1 species
GUCUCUGUCUCUCUUCGUCCAAGGUAUAAUUUGUUUGAAUUUUUUUUUUUUAUGCAUGCUUUAAUAAAUCAAUUGAUUUUAAUUUUGUUUUUUAUUUUUGCAAUUGAUUAUAUUAAUGUAUUUCCUUUUUUAUUAGAAAUUUAACAUGGCUGUUGUUGCUGCUGCUCUAAAGACCAAUCAUGUUGUUAUUAUUCUGUUUCUUAUGAUAUUGGGUGCAAAAGGACUCGUUGUGAUAGAUAAAGCCUUAGACAUCUCACCAUCAUCCAUGCUCACGGGAGAUUGAUAAUCCUGAUACUUUUAUGGAUCCUAUUACGCAACUUAAAUUUGAUCGAUUCUUUCAACAGAAUUGGAGGGGAUCAAGACACAGGCCUAUUGAAAUUGGUGGCAUAAAAUUUACUGUUUUUUCUAAGACUCCGGAUGUACUGGAAUGGAUCGAGACACAAAACUGUAAAAAGAUUACUGCAAGGAUGUUGCAGAGGCAGAAACUGGGGAAAGAAGUGCAUGGUAAUGCAUUGGAAAUAGGAAGGGGUCAAUAUCAACCC